UACAGAGGUCCCGAGCGUUGUUCGGAUUCAUUGGGCGUAAAGGGUGCGUAGGUGGCGCCGUAAGUGGGGUGUGAAAUCCCGGGGCUUAACCCCGGGACUGCAUUCCAUACUGCGGUGCUUGAGGACUGGAGAGGAGACUGGAAUUUACGGUGUAGCAGUGAAAUGCGUAGAGAUCGUAAGGAAGACCAGUGGCGAAGGCGGGUCUCUGGACAGUUCCUGACACUGAGGCACGAAGGCCAGGGGCGCAAACGGG
rnacentral:rRNA from 1 species